GAUGAACGCUGGCGGCGUGCCUAAUACAUGCAAGUCGAGCGAACGGACGAGAAGCUUGCGUCUCUGAUGUUAGCGGCGGACGGGUGAGUAACACGUGGAUAACCUACCUAUAAGACUGGGAUAACUUCGGGAAACCGUAGCUAAUACCGGAUAAUAUUUUGAACCGCAUGGUUCAAAAGUUAAAUACGGUCUUGCUGUCACUUAUAGAUGGAUCCGCGUUUCAUUAGCUAGUUGGUAAGGUAACGGCUUACCAAGGCGACGAUGCAUAGCCGACCUGAGAGGGUGAUCGGCCACACUGGCACUGAGACACGGUCCAGACUCCUACGGGAGGCAGCAGUAGGGAAUCUUCCGCAAUGGGCGAAAGCCUGACGGAGCAACGCCGCGUGAGUGAUGAAGGUCUUCGGAUCGUAAAACUCUGUUAUUAGGGAAGAACAUAUGUGUAAGUAACUGUGCACAUCUUGACGGUACCUAAUCAGAAAGCCACGGCUAACUACGUG
rnacentral:rRNA from 1 species